CGUGUAGGCGGGAAUGUAAGUCAGAUGUGAAAUUCCGGGGCUCAACCCCGGCACUGCAUCUGAAACUGUGUUUCUUGAGUGCUGGAGAGGAAAGCGGAAUUCCUAGUGUAGCGGUGAAAUGCGUAGAUAUUAGGAGGAACACCAGUGGCGAAGGCGGCUUUCUGGACAGUAACUGACGCUGAGGCGCGAAAGCGUGGGGAGCAAACAGGAUUAGAUACCCUGGUAGUCCACGCUGUAAACGAUGGAUACUAGGUGUAGGAGGUAUCGACCCCUUCUGUGCCGGAGUUAACACAAUAAGUAUCCCACCUGGGGAGUACGGCCGCAAGGUUGAA
rnacentral:rRNA from 1 species